rnacentral:rRNA from 1 species
GACGGAGGAUGCAAGUGUUAUCCGGAAUCACUGGGCGUAAAGCGUCUGUAGGUGGUUCGAAAAGUCCACUGUUAAAAAUUGAGGCUUAACUUCAAAGAUGCCGUGGAAACUUUCAAACUAGAGUAUGGUAGGGGUAGAGGGAAUUUCCAGUGGAGCGGUGAAAUGCGUAGAGAUCGGAAAGAACACCAACGGCGAAAGCAACUCUGCUGGGCCGACACUGACACUGAGAGACGAAAGCUAGGGGAGCGAAUGGG